UACAGAGGGGGCAAGCGUUAUUCGGAAUUAUUGGGCGUAAAGGGCGCGUAGGCGGCUUUGCAAGUGACGGGUGAAAGCCCUCGGCUUAACCGAGGAACUGCCUGUCAGACUGUAAGGCUUGAGACCGGGAGAGGUGAGUGGAAUUCCCAGUGUAGCGGUGAAAUGCGUAGAUAUUGGGAGGAACACCAGUGGCGAAGGCGGCUCACUGGACCGGAACUGACGCUGAGGCGCGAAAGCGUGGGGAGCGAACGGG
rnacentral:rRNA from 1 species